UUAAAUUGAAGAGUUUGAUCAUGGCUCAGAUUGAACGCUGGCGGCAGGCCUAACACAUGCAAGUCGAACGGUAACAGGAAGCAGCUUGCUGCUUCGCUGACGAGUGGCGGACGGGUGAGUAAUGUCUGGGAAACUGCCUGAUGGAGGGGGAUAACUACUGGAAACGGUGGCUAAUACCGCAUAACGUCGCAAGACCAAAGAGGGGGACCUUCGGGCCUCUUGCCAUCAGAUGUGCCCAGAUGGGAUUAG
rnacentral:rRNA from 1 species